rnacentral:rRNA from 1 species
ACUUGAGGUGAUUGACAAUUUACUAUUUAUACAAGCUAAGCUUCAAUACAGACUCGAUCGAAUUCAGUGCUUUACAGUGUCUUAGGUUUUACCAACUACGCUGGCCUAGUAACUGUUUUCUGAGCUGGCCUUUAUAACAGUUCUUUUAAAAGUUUGACCUCAAAUCAGGCAAGACUACCCGCUGAACUUAAGCAUAUCAAUAAGCGGAGGAAAAGAAACCAACCGGGAUUGCCCUAGUAACGGCGAGCGAAGGCCAAAAGUCCAAAUUUGAAAUCUGGCGUCCUACGGGCGUCCGAGUUGUAAUUUGAAGAUGGUAACUUUGGGUUUGGCUCUUGCAUAAGUUCCUUGGAACAGGACGUCAUAGAGGGUGAGAAUCCCGUUCAUGGUAAGAUGCCCAUUCCUUUGUAAAGUGCCUUCGAAGAGUCGAGUUGUUUGGGAAUGCAGCUCUAAGUGGGUGGUAAAUUCCAUCUAAGACUAAAUAUUGGCCGAGAGACCGAUAGCGAACAAGUACAGUGAUCGGAAAGAUGAAAAGAACUUUGAAAAGAGAGUGAAAAAGUACGUGAAAUUGUUGAAAGGGAAGGGCUUGAAGUCAGACUUGGUAUUCAGUGAUCAACUGUCUUUCGGGACUGUGCACUCGCUGUUUACUGGGCCAACAUCGGUUUUGGCGGCGAGAUAAAUGCAUUGGAACGUGGCUCUAUCUUCGGAUGGAGUGUUAUAGCCUUUGUAAAUAUCGCCUGCUGGGACCGAGGACUGCGCAUCUGCUAGGAUGUUGGCGUAAUGACUUUAAGCCACCCGUCUUGAAACACGGACCAAGGAGUCUAACGUCUAUGCGAGUGUUUGGGUGUAAAACCCGUACGCGUAAUGAAAGUGAACGUAGAUGAGAACCCCUGAGGGUGCAUCAUCGACCGAUCCUGAUGUUCUCGGAUGGAUUUGAGUAAGAGCAUAGCUGUUGGGACCCGAAAGAUGGUGAACUAUGCCUGAAUAGGGUGAAGCCAGAGGAAACUCUGGUGGAGGCUCGUAGCGAUUCUGACGUGCAAAUCGAUCGUCAAAUUUGGGUAUAGGGGCGAAAGACUAAUCGAACCAUCUAGUAGCUGGUUCCUGCCGAAGUUUCCCUCAGGAUAGCAGAAGCUCGUAUCAGUUUUAUGAGGUAAAGCGAAUGAUUAGAGGUAUUGGGAUUGAAACGAUCUUGACCUAUUCUCAAACUUUGAAUAUGUAAGAAGUCCUUGUUACUUAAUUGAACGUGGACAUUAGAAUGAAGAGCUUUUAGUGGGCCAUUUUUGGUAAGCAGAACUGGCGAUGCGGGAUGAACCGAACGUAGAGUUAAGGUGCCGGAAUGCACGCUCAUCAGACACCAGAAAAGGUGUUAGUUCAUCUAGACAGCCGGACGGUGGCCAUGGCUAUAGUGAGUCGUAUUACAAUUCACUGGCCGUCGUUUUACAACGUCGUGACUGGGAAAACCCUGGCGUUACCCAACUUAAUCGCCUUGCAGCACAUCCCCCUUUCGCCAGCUGGCGUAAUAGCGAAGAGGCCCGCACCGAUCGCCCUUCCCAACAGUUGCGCAGCCUGAAUGGCGAAUGGCGAAAUUGUAAACGUUAAUAUUUUGUUAAAAUUCGCGUUAAAUUUUUGUUAAAUCAGCUCAUUUUUUAACCAAUAGGCCGAAAUCGGCAAAAUCCCUUAUAAAUCAAAAGAAUAGACCGAGAUAGGGUUGAGUGUUGUUCCAGUUUGGAACAAGAGUCCACUAUUAAAGAACGUGGACUCCAACGUCAAAGGGCGAAAAACCGUCUAUCAGGGCGAUGGCCCACUACGUGAACCAUCACCCUAAUCAAGUUUUUUGGGGUCGAGGUGCCGUAAAGCACUAAAUCGGAACCCUAAAGGGAGCCCCCGAUUUAGAGCUUGACGGGGAAAGCCGGCGAACGUGGCGAGAAAGGAAGGGAAGAAAGCGAAAGGAGCGGGCGCUAGGGCGCUGGCAAGUGUAGCGGUCACGCUGCGCGUAACCACCACACCCGCCGCGCUUAAUGCGCCGCUACAGGGCGCGUCGCCUGAUGCGGUAUUUUCUCCUUACGCAUCUGUGCGGUAUUUCACACCGCAUAUGGUGCACUCUCAGUACAAUCUGCUCUGAUGCCGCAUAGUUAAGCCAGCCCCGACACCCGCCAACACCCGCUGACGCGCCCUGACGGGCUUGUCUGCUCCCGGCAUCCGCUUACAGACAAGCUGUGACCGUCUCCGGGAGCUGCAUGUGUCAGAGGUUUUCACCGUCAUCACCGAAACGCGCG